rnacentral:rRNA from 1 species
CAGAGGGANUUCCCGGUGUAGCGGUGAAAUGCGUAGAUAUCGGGAAGAACACCAGUGGCGAAGGCGNUCUGCUGGGCCAUCACUGACGNUCAUGGACGAAAGCCAGGGGAGCGAAAGGGAUUAGAUACCCCUGUAGUCCUGGCCGUAAACGAUGAACACUAGGUGUCGGGGGAAUCGACCCCCUCGGUGUCGUAGCCAACGCGUUAAGUGUUCCGCCUGGGGAGUACGCACGCAAGUGUGAAACUCAAAGGAAUUGACGGGGGCCCGCACAAGCGGUGGAGUAUGUGGUUUAAUUCGAUGCAACGCGAAGAACCUUACCAGGGUUUGACAUCCUGCGAAUCUCUUGGAAACAGGAGAGUGCCUUCGGGAACGCAGUGACAGGUGGUGCAUGGCUGUCGUCAGCUCGUGUCGUGAGAUGUUGGGUUAAGUCCCGCAACGAGCGCAACCCACGUUUUUAGUUGCCAGCAUUUAGUUGGGCACUCUAGAGAGACUGCCGGUGAUAAACCGGAGGAAGGUGUGGAUGACGUCAAGUCAUCAUGCCCCUUACAUCCUGGGCUACACACGUACUACAAUGCUACGGACAAAGGGCAGCAAGUUCGCGAGGACAAGCAAAUCCCAUAAACCGUGGCUCAGUUCAGAUCGUAGGCUGCAACUCGCCUACGUGAAGGCGGAAUCGCUAGUAAUCGCAGGUCAGCAUACUGCGGUGAAUACGUUCCCGGGCCUUGUACACACCGCCCGUCACACCAUGGAAGUUGGCCACGCCCGAAGCCGUUACUCCAACCCUUGUGGAGGAGGACGUCGAAGGUGGGGCUGAUGACUGGGGUGAAGUCGUAACAAGGUAGCC